UACGAAGGGGGCUAGCGUUGUUCGGAAUUACUGGGCGUAAAGCGCACGUAGGCGGAUUUGCCAGUCAGGGGUGAAAUCCCGGGGCUCAACCUCGGAACUGCCCUUGAUACAGCAAAUCUUGAGUCCGGAAGAGGUGAGUGGAAUUCCUAGUGUAGAGGUGAAAUUCGUAGAUAUUAGGAAGAACACCAGUGGCGAAGGCGGCUCACUGGUCCGGAACUGACGCUGAGGUGCGAAAGCGUGGGGAGCAAACAGG
rnacentral:rRNA from 2 species